rnacentral:rRNA from 1 species
AAUUUGCCUUAUAAUUUGAGGCUAGAAUGAAUGGUUUGACGAAGGUUAAGCUGUCUCUAUCUUAUUUUUUAGAAUUUAAUCUUCAAAGUGAUAAAGCUUAAAUUUUUUAAAGGGACGAGAAGACCCUAUUGAGCUUAUAAUUUUAGGGUUGCUUAACAUUAGUUAUUUGGGGAGCAAUUUAUAAAUUUUAAUUGGGGUGAUUAAGGAAUAGAUAAGAAAAUAAUAUAGUAACUUCCUUAGAUUGAAAUAUUGUUAAAUAAAGUAACCAAUGUUAUUAUUGCUUUUAUAAUAGUUACCAUAGGGAUAACAGCGUAAUCUGUUUAGAGAGUUCUUAUUGAAAAAUGGGAUUGCGACCUCGAUGUUGGAUUAAAGUAACCUCAGGGUGCAGAAGCUU